CAGUCGCCACGGUAACACGUAGGUGGCAAGCGUUGUCCGGAAUUAUUGGGCGUAAAGGGCUCGCAGGCGGUUUCUUAAGUCUGAUGUGAAAGCCCCGGCUCAACCGGGGAGGGUCAUUGGAAACUGGGAGACUUGAGUGCAGAAGAGGAGAGUGGAAUUCCACGUGUAGCGGUGAAAUGCGUAGAGAUGUGGAGGAACACCAGUGGCGAAGGCGACUCUCUGGUCUGUAACUGACGCUGAGGAGCGAAAGCGUGGGGAGCGAACAGGAUUAGAGACCCCUGUAGUCCCUGUCUCUUAUACA
rnacentral:rRNA from 1 species